GAGAGGAUCCGCAGAUUCAGACAUUUGGUUCAUGUGCUUGGCUGAUAAGCCAAUGGUGCGAAGCUACCAUCUGAGGGAUUAUGACUGAACGCCUCUAAGUCAGAAUCCCGCCUGGAAAGCGACGAUGCAUUCGUGCCUCGGCCUCGAGAGGCGUAGCUAGACGGCCGUGUGGCCGUGGAAAGAGCCCGAUUCCGACCCGAGAGGCCGCGGCAAGAGGCGGCCUCGAAGUCGGUGGAUCCUCCUGCUCGAAAGGCGGGGUGCUAAACCAUUCGCAGACGACCUAGUUGAAGAUCGGGGUGUCGUGAUCACUAGAGCAGUACAUCUCACUGCGAUUUGUUGAGAGUAAGCCUCAAGAUCUGUCGGUUUGU
rnacentral:ncRNA from 1 species